rnacentral:lncRNA from 1 species
GGGCGGUUCGCUGGGUUGAACCGGGAAUAUUCUGCGGAAUAUUCUAUCGGCUCGGCUGCGGCUAAUAGUGGCUCGGCUUAGCGGCUCGGCUUAACAAGGGAAUAUUCUCGGGAAUAUUCUUCGGCUCGGCUGGAGGCUUGGCUUGAGGCUCGGCGCGGCGCGGCUUAACCGGCUCCAAUAUGGCGCGCGUGUGGCUCAGGCGUCGUCUACCUCUGGGCGCGUGGCUGCGCGUGGUCAAACAGUGCAGAAUCUUCAGGCGGCGCGUGUGGGCUACCUCCGUCUCCGAUCAAGCUGAUUUUUGCGGUAGUGAGUUCGUCUGGAUGAGAUCUACACUGUGGAAUGAUCAAAACUUGUUUAUGACAACUUUGAAAAUUCGGAUAUCUCCCAAAAACACUUCUGUUUUCUGACGAACGGGGCUCUGAUACCAAUUGUUGGUGGGAGAAACCACUGGUGGUGGCUUUGAAACACUCGGAGGGGAUAAAACACAAAGUUGUAUUUCAAGAACAGAAGCUUACAGAAGCAAAAAUAAACACAAAAGCUUAAUACACGCCCUCUCUCUUUCUCUCUAGUGUUUCUCUCUACUCUCUCCACACAUAAUAGCAUAAGCUCAGCUUGCUAUUUAUACACGAAUUCAAAACAAGAUAAUUCAACCUUCAAGUAUGAAGGCGGCUGGCGGCCAAUGGUGUGAAGGCGGCUGGCGGCUGGUCGGUCACAGCUGGUGGCUGGCUGGCCGGUGGUUGCCUUCCUUGACCUUCUAGAUUGAUUGAGUUUAAUACAACAAAUCUCCCCUUUGAACUCAAUCGAGGGAUGUCAUGCCAAGCAUGAACUUCAUUCUAAUAAAUGUUUCCCUCUUCAAUGGCUUUGUAUUUUUGCACUUUUUCUUUUGCAUUCUUCUUUGUCUUAUAGACCCAUUUGACACCUAUUGCUUUCUUGCUUUCUGGUGGAUAAGUCAGCUUCCAGGUAUCAUUCUUCUCAAUGGCAUGCAUUUCUUCAUCCAUUGCUUCUAUCUUCUCUUCUGUGAUAGCUUUGUUGAAGCUAAGUGGGUCAUUAUCUGCAAAGAAACAAAACAAAUCUGUAUCUUCCAUUACUUGAGUGGCAUCGUACAGCUCUUCAAGAUUUCUCAUCCUUCUUGGUUCUUCUGACGAGGAUGUUGCUGCUGGUGUUGAUGAUGAUGCUCCUGGUGUGUUCCUCCUGUUGAAUACAGGGAAUCUGUGUACCGGACUUUGUGGUUCAGCUGUUGGUAUAAUCACCGGACUUUGUGGUUCAGCUGCUGGUACAAUUGGUUCUUCGACAAGUACUGUUGGUACUUCUUCACCUUCAAGGAUCAAAUCAAUGUUGAUCCAUCUGACUGCUUCUUUAUUAUCAGUCCAUUCCCAAGAUUUAUCUUCUUCAAAGAUAACAUCUCUACUCAUAAUCACCUUCUUCGUGAUGGGAUUAUACAGCUUGUAUCCCAUCCUUCUUUCACCAUAUCCCACAAAGAUGCAUCUCUCGCUUUUAUCAUCGAGUUUUCUCCUUCUUGCAUCUGGGAUCUUUGCAUAUGCCACACAACCAAAGACUCGUAGAUGAGUAACACUUGGUUUGUGACCACUCCAUGCUUCUUCUGGAGUGACUCCUUGCAAACUUCUGGUUGGGCAGCGAUUCAGUAGAUACACUGCACAUGAUACAGCUUCAGCCCAGUAUUGCUUGGGCAACUUCUUUGCUUUGAGCAGACUUCUUGCCAUGUCAAGAAUCGUGCGAUUCUUCCUUUCAGCUACACCAUUCAGCUGUGGUGUAUAAGCUGGUGUUGUCUGAUGUCUGAUGUCUUGUUGUGUACAAUAGGCUUCAAAGUCAUUUGCUGUAUAUUCUCCACCUUGAUCAGAUCUCACUGUUCUGAUCAUGUAGCCACUUUGCUUCUCCACAAUUGCUUUAAAAUCUUUAAAACAAUUGAAUACUUCUGACUUCCUCUUCAGAAAGUAUAUCCACGUCUUUCUACUAAAAUCAUCAAUAAAAGUGAGGAAGUACCUAUUAUGUCCAGUCGACAUAGGCGUAAUUGGGCCACACACAUCUGUGUGUACUAACUCCAGUGGCCUCUUUGCUUUCCAGUUGACUUCUUUGGCAAAACUGGAUCUGUGAUGUUUGCUGAGGACACAACUUUCACAGACUUCAUCUGGAUGAUCAAUGUGAGGCAAACCUUUGACCAUCUUCUUGCUUGCUAGCAUCUUCAAGCUCGUGAAAUUCAGAUGUCCAAGCCUCAGGUGCCAAAGCCAUUCUUCACUGUUGGUGAUGGCACUCAAACACCUUGCUGCAUCAUACUGGAUGUUCAAAGGAAACAUCCUAUUCUUGGACAUUUUCACAUAAGCCAUUAAUCUCCAAUUGUUGUCUCUAAUUGUCAGAUGACAAUUCUUCGAGUAAAAAGUAUAUCCUCUCUCCAAAAGUUGACCUAAGCUGAUCAGGUUCUGCUUUAUGGCUGGGACAUAAUAGACAUUGGCUUAACCGGCUCCAAUAUGGCGCGCGUGUGGCUCAGGCGUCGUCUACCUCUGGGCGCGUGGCUGCGCGUGGUCAAACAGUGCAGAAUCUUCAGGCGGCGCGUGUGGGCUACCUCCGUCUCCGAUCAAGCUGAUUUUUGCGGUAGUGAGUUCG